rnacentral:piRNA from 1 species
UGCGUUCAAUGGGACUCAGCGCGUUGU